GCUAGCCAGCAAGACCUUGAGGUGUGUACACACGCAGCAAGCGAUGAGGUAGUCGCUCUUGUGACAGGAGAACGCAAGGUCGGAACAUUGGUGCACAGGCUCGUUUCGGACUUGGGGAGAACCAUCAAACCGCACGAGAUCAACGACAAGCUCGCGUCUGACUUUUGGGAGCAAGCGAGGUUGACGGAAGUGUCCAACAUGCCAGAUAGUUGAACGUUACACAAAACGGGAUCAAAGUCUACGACGUCCUCUCUGGAUCGCGUUUCAAAAGGGUGGAGUCUAGUUUCCAGGACCGACAGCACGAAACAUCUCCGUGACCUGCGGUGCGAGAUAAGUGACAGGAUUCUCCAGAGCAGUGCCUAAAAAAUUCA